CGUGUAUAUGUAAGUAUAAUUAUAAUACUAUAUAAUAUAAAAAUGAUAAUAGUAAUAAUAAUAACAAAAACUAAAAAAAAAAUUACAAAAAAGCCUUUAAAAGGACCAUUAAGGAUUCAACUGAAAGCUAAACGAAGUUAAAAGGCCAAAUUUAAAAAACAGGAAGGACCAAAUUGAUACGCGCGCCAUGAUAGGAGGAAUUAAAAAGCAAUUUUCCCUAGUCACUCAAGCACUGUGCACUGAUAUGGAUUAAAUUGUCACGCGAGAAAAAUAUUUGGGCCGAAUUUGAAGGAAAAAAAAGCUUGAUUAAACACAUCGCAAAAUGGGGAGGGCUAGACGCGCAAUUUCCCCACGCAGGGCCAGAAAGCGCGGAUCCCCCCUUCCGGGUCGGGUCGACGCGCGGGUCAUGGCACCCUAAACGGCGCCGUUUUGAUCUGCUAUUUAAAGCAGUUUUUUCCCUCUAAAACCUUGUUUUUGCAGUAGAAAAAGGAAAAAAACAAAGAGACCCUCUGCUAGGGUUUUGUCCAUUUGCUAAUGCCGCCGCCGUUCUCCGCCAAUCGGCCUCCGUCGACGCCCCGGUCUCCAAUCGCGACGGAGAGGGGCACCAACUCGGCGAUUCUGGCAAAAAGGUACAAACGUGGCAUACGGAGCGGCACGCGCUGAGGAAGGUCGUGCUGCGACAUUUGCGGCGGUGGGCGUGCAGACGGAGGCGCGCAAAGAGGUAGCAAUUGCGGCGCCAAGCUGCUGGUGGCUGCUUUAGGUUUUCUGCUGAUGUUUUCUUUUUGGGCUAAGUUUUGGGUUAGUGUUUGGGCUAUGUUAAUUUGGGUUUUGGGCCUGGUAAUUGUUUUGGGCUGCUUAUUUGCUUGGGCCCGGGCAUAAAUUGGGCCCUACAAUAUUCUCUCAAUCCGUUAAAAGAAAUAGAAUGUAUUCACUGAGAAAAUGAGAAGGUAAACAAAGACCAAAGGGCAGGGUUUUGGUAGGGUUUGUGCUCUAAGGCGUCGAAAUUGGAAUAGCGUAUUUUUUCGGCUGGUUUUAUA